rnacentral:rRNA from 1 species
UACAGAGGGUGCGAGCGUUAAUCGGAAUUACUGGGCGUAAAGCGUGCGCAGGCGGUUUUGUAAGACAGGCGUGAAAUCCCCGGGCUUAACCUGGGAACUGCGCUUGUGACUGCAAGACUAGAGUGUGGCAGAGGGGGGUAGAAUUCCACGUGUAGCAGUGAAAUGCGUAGAGAUGUGGAGGAAUACCGAUGGCGAAGGCAGCCCCCUGGGCCAACACUGACGCUCAUGCACGAAAGCGUGGGGAGCAAACAGG